rnacentral:rRNA from 1 species
AUGGAAUCAGGUGAAAACAACAUGGGCUCGAAUGAUGGACCAAACAGCAAAGCUAGCUUGCCUGCGAGGCAACGCUUGCGGUGGACAGAUGAGUUGCAUGAACAAUUUGUGGAGGCUGUUACUCAACUGGGCGGUCCUGAUAGAGCAACUCCUAAAGGAGUUUUGAGAAUUAUGGGUACACCAGGAUUAACAAUAUACCAUGUGAAAAGUCACCUACAGAAAUACAGGCUAGCAAAGUACAUUCCCGACUCUUCAGCUGAUGGUAACAAGGCUGAUAACAAAGAUCCAGGGGAUUCACUAGCAGGACUUGAUGGAUCCUCUGGAAUGCAGAUAUCUGAAGCCCUGAAGCUGCAGAUGGAGGUCCAAAAGCGGUUGCAUGAACAGCUCGAAGUACAAAGGCAGCUGCAGCUGCGAAUCGAGGCACAGGGAAAGUACCUUAAGAAAAUCAUAGAAGAGCAGCAGCGUUUCGGUGGCGGUGGUAUAAAGUCUGAAACACCUGGUGCAGGAGCAACUGUCACAGUGUCGAGCGAUCAGUUCCCCGACUCUGAGAGGACAGACCCCUCGACUCCUGCACCGACAUCUGAAUCUGCAUCUCAAGGUGGGGCUUUCAAAAGAGACAGUGGAAGCCAGACUGAAGCAAUCAAGAGCCCAUGUCAUGAUGAACCGCUGCUAACAGCAGAUUCCAACUGUCAUCCCGGUUCUCCUACUCUCAGUCCAAAGCACGAGAGGGCAGCAAAGAGGCAGCGAGGCAGCGAUGCUGAAUUCCCGGAGGCCGAGUUAUCCCUUCCGCAGCAUAUCUUCGAGUCGAGCUCGGGGCCAGAGUUCCAGCAAUGUUCGGUGCCCUACUACUCGGGUCAUUAG